UGGGGGAUAUUGCACAAUGGGCGAAAGCCUGAUGCAGCGACGCCGCGUGGGGGAUGAAGGCCUUCGGGUUGUAAACUUCUUUUGCUCUGAACAAGGCAUGCUAAUGGGUGUGUUGAGUGUAGGGGUUGAUUAGCGCCGGCUAACUACGUGCCAGCAGCCGCGGUAAUACGUAGGGCGCGAGCGUUGUCCGGAAUUAUUGGGCGUAAAGGGCUUGUAGGUGGCUGGUUGCGUCUGUCGUGAAAGCUCAUGGCUUAACUGUGGGUUUGCGGUGGGUACGGGCUGGCUUGAGUGCAGGAGGGGAGGCUGGAAUUCCUGGUGUAGCGGUGGAAUGCGCAGAUAUCAGGAGGAAUACCGGUGGCGAAGGCGGGUCUCUGGGCUGUUACUGACACUGAGGAGCGAAAGGAUGGGGAGCGAACAGG
rnacentral:rRNA from 1 species